CGUUAGAUUUGGCAGAAAAUUUAUUAGGGAUAAGCUUAAUAUCUUAUAUUUAUAUAGUAAUAGGAGUAGGAUUAGUAAAGGAUUAAUAGUGUCUUUAUGUUUUGUAACUGAUUGUUUAUGUUUUUAUUAAUUAGCUAUAUGAGGGUAUCUUGAGAUUUUUUUUGUUAGUAAUAAUGGUAGAAUUAGUAGAUUAAUUUUUAGUGAGUAAUUUAGGUGUUUUAUUUAAAGUACUUUAAUUUGUAAAUAUUGGUAAGGAACUCGGCAAACAUCUUUCUUAACUGUUUAUCAAAAACAUCUCUUUAAGGAAGGAUUUAAAGUAUAUUCUGCCCCCUGAUUAAUCUAUUAAAGGGCCGCAGUAGCCUGACUGUGCUAAGGUAGCAUAAUCAUUAGGUUCUUAAUUGGGAUCUGGAAUGAAUGAAUGAAUAAGGGGGAGCUGUCUAUCAAUAGAGGUUGAAAUUAAAUUUUUAGUAAGAAUGCUAGAAUCUUUCAGUGGGACGAUAAGACCCUAUAAAGCUUUACUAACCUUUAGUAAAAAUUUUUACUACUUUUAUGAAGAGUUUAGUUUUUCUGGGGCGGUAGCUAAUCAACUUAGCUAAUUUUCUUUUCUUGUGGGAUCCAUCUUUGGUGAAUUAAGAUUAAGUUACUUUAGGGAUAACAGCAUAAUAUAUCUAUGGAGUUCUAAUCGAAGGAUAUGGUUGUGACCUCGAUGUUGAAUUAACCUUAUUGUAAGGUGAAGAAGCUUUACGAGUUAGUCUGUUCGACUAUUAAAGGGUUACGUGAUUUGAGUUCAAACCGGUUUAAGCCAGGUUGGUUUCUAUCUACUGGAUUUAAAAAAUUUCUUAGUACGAAAGGACCAGAGAUUUUAGAUUUUCUAUUUAAUAUCGUUUUGGCCUCUUUAGGUCUUU
rnacentral:rRNA from 1 species